rnacentral:rRNA from 1 species
UACGUAGGCAGCGAGCGUUGUUCGGAAUUACUGGGCGUAAAGAGUGUGUAGGCGGUGCUCUAAGUUCGGUGUGAAAUCUCCUGGCUUAACUGGGAGGGUGCGCCGGAAACUGGGGUGCUCGAGCGUGGGAGAGGAAAGCGGAAUUCCUGGUGUAGCGGUGAAAUGCGUAGAUAUCAGGAGGAACACCUGUGGUGUAGACAGCUUUCUGGACCAUUGCUGACGCUGGGACACGAAAGCAUGGGUAGCAAACAGG